rnacentral:rRNA from 1 species
AGGGCACCACCAGGAGUGGAGCCUGCGGCUUAAUCUGACUCAACACGGGAAAACUCACCCGGCCCGGACACUGUAAGGAUUGGCAGACUGAGAGCUCUUUCCUAAUUCGGUGGGUGGUGGUGCAUGGCCGUUCUUAGUUGGUGGAGCGAUUUGUCUGGUUAAUUCCGAUAACGAACGAGACUCUGGCCUAUUAAAUAGACGGUGUAUCUUGAAGUAUACCGCGCUUCUUAGAGGGACAAGCGGCGUCUAGCCGCAUGAAAUAGAGCAAUAACAGGUCUGUGAUGCCCUUAGAUGUCCGGGGCUGCACGCGCGCUACACUGAAAGAAUCAGCGUGCGAUUAGCCUGGUUCGGAGGAGUCGGGUAACCCAAGUAAAUUCUUUCGUGCUUGGGAUAGGGAAUUGCAAUUAUUUCCCUUAAACGAGGAAUUCCCAGUAAAUGCGGGUCAUAAGCUCGCGUUGAUUUCGUCCCUGCCCUUUGUACACACCGCCCGUCGCUACUACCGAUUGGAUGACUUAGUGA